AUACGGAGGGUGCAAGCGUUACUCGGAAUCACUGGGCGUAAAGCGCGCGCAGGCGGUCUUUUAAGUUGGAUGUGAAAGCCUACGGCUCAACCGUAGAACUGCAUCCAAAACUAUUAGACUAGAGUGUGGGAGAGGAAGAUGGAAUUAGUUGUGUAGGGGUAAAAUCCGUAGAGAUAACUAGGAAUACCAAAAGCGAAGGCAAUCUUCUGGAACACUACUGACGCUGAGGCGCGAAAGCGUGGGGAGCAAACGGGAGUAGAAACCCUAGUAGUCC
rnacentral:rRNA from 1 species